ensembl:lncRNA
UCCAGCAUGGAUCCCCCCCCUCAGAGAGCCCCCGGCCCUCCUGGUCUGACAACUGCACCUCCACGUCCAGUAAUUGGGAAAACACAAAAGGCUUCAAGACAGAACUGUGGACGACGUUUCGCCGGGUGGAAGCACGUGGAGAUGGAGGCUUGUUAAAAACGCUGUUUGUUCUAUUUAAGUCCAAAGCUGCUGAGAGCACGUGUUGAUUAUACUGCGAUGAAACGAAUCUUCUGCUCGACUUCCUACUCGGGUUUCACCGCGGUUGAAAGGCCUGCAGGACUUUGCGGUGGAGAAGCGUCCGCCGUUACCGUGGGAACCACAAGAAGAGCCCCGAUGGGACCGGUGACUCCACACAGGAAGUGCGGGUGGAUUUACGUAAUUAAUAUGUAAAGCUCAUUACAUGCUACGCUGAGCUGAGCCGUCCCAGCCUCCUGUAUUUAGGGAUGCAAAUGUGUGUUCUCUAAAGGUAGCAUCAAUGCUACAGCGACCUGGACCACCUGCCUUUAUUAUUAUGCUUGUUUGAUUUUCUAUGGCCUGUACUAGUUAGCGGUUAGCUGGUGACGACAGCAAAGCAUUCAGUACACUUUAAAGAUGACCUUCAGAUCAAAACAGAAAAUCCAACUAAAUAUUGAUGUGGAUAAAAUAGAUGCAACAAGGAUGCAACAAGGAUUCAACAAGGAUGCAACAAGGAUUCAACAAGGAUGCAACAAGGAUGCAACAAGGAUGCAACAAGGAUUCAACAAGGAUGCAACAAGGAUGCAACAAGGAUGCAACAAGGAUUCAACAAGGAUGCAACAAGGAUUCUACAAGGAUGCAACAAGGAUUCAACAAGGAUGCAACAAGGAUGCAACAAGGAUUCAACAAGGAUGCAACAAGGAUUCGAGGGGGUUAGCGUCACUAUCGACGUAAGAGCGGUAUUUAUGUGUAUUUAUGUUCCUGUGUGUGUGUGUGCUUGAGGCCACACGGCGCUGUGUUUGUCUCUCCCGUGGGGAUGACCCCCCCCCCCCCCGCGGAGGGGAAUCACGGCGCCGCCUUCGUG